AUUGAACGCUGGCGGCAGGCCUAACACAUGCAAGUCGAACGAGUGGCGGACGGGUGAGUAAUGUCUGGGAAACUGCCUGAUGGAGGGGGAUAACUACUGGAAACGGUAGCUAAUACCGCAUACCAUCGGAUGUGCCCCGAUGGGAUUAGCUAGUAGGUGGGGUAACAGCUCACCUAGGCGACGAUCCCUCGCUGGUCUGAGAGGAUGACCAGCCACACUGGAGCGUGGACACGGACAAGACUCCUACGGUAGGCAGCAGUGGGGAAUAUUGCACAAUGGGCGCAAGCCUGAUGCAGCCAGGCCGCGUGUAUGAAGAAGGCCUUCGGUUUGUAAAGUACUUUCAGCGGGGAGGCGUUACCCGCAGAAGAAGCACCGGCUAACUCCGUGCCAGCAGCCGCGGUAAUUC
rnacentral:rRNA from 1 species